CGGCGGCCGGGGCUGAGCUUGGAACCAGGACUGAGGAUGCGGCCACUGAACUGGUCUGCCGGUCUUGGGUGUGGCUGAAGGAUGGCGACCGUGCGGGUGGCCGUGAGGGUGAGGCCCCUCAGCAAGAGGGAGACCAAAGAAGGAGGAAAAAUUAUUGUGGAAAUUGAUGGCAAAGUGGCAAAAGUCAGAAAUUUAAAGGUGGGCAGUCGACCUGAUAGCUUUGGAGACUCCCGGGAGAAGGUUGUGGCAUUCAGCUUUGAUUACUGCUACUGGUCAGUUAACCCAGAGGACCCUCAGUAUGCAUCUCAAGAUAUGGUGUUCCAGGAUUUGGGGACUGAAGUAUUAUCUGGAGCUGCCAAAGGCUACAACAUCUGCCUUUUUGCCUAUGGACAGACAGGCUCUGGGAAGACAUAUACCAUGCUGGGGACCCCAGCCUCUGUUGGGCUGACACCACGGAUUUGUGAGGGUCUCUUCAUCAGAGAGGAAGACUGUGCCUCAUUAUUUUCUUCCUGUAGGAUAAAAGUGAGUUUCCUGGAAAUCUAUAAUGAACGGGUACGGGAUCUGCUAAAGCAGCCUGAUAAAAAAAAGUCCUAUACCCUGAGAGUCAGGGAGCAUCCAGAGAUGGGACCCUAUGUACAAGGUCUGUCUCAACAUGUAGUUACCAACUAUAACCAAGUAAUCCAACUCUUGGAGGAGGGAAUAGCAAACAGAAUCACAGCAGCCACCCAUGUUCACGAAGCCAGCAGCAGAUCCCAUGCCAUCUUCACCAUUUACUACUCACAGGCUAUUGUUAAGAACAACCUUCCCUCUGAGACUGCUAGCAAGAUCAACCUUGUAGACCUAGCAGGCAGUGAAAGAGCAGAUCCCAGUUACUGUAAGGACCGGAUUACUGAAGGAGCCAAUAUCAACAAGUCCCUUGUGACUCUGGGAAUUGUCAUCUCCACUUUAGCCCAGAACUCCCAAGCAUUCAGUAGCUGCCAGGGUUUCAGCGGUCCAGGCAGCAGCAGUUGUAGCGACAAUGGGACUGCUGGUGCUCCUGAGACCAGCAGUGGCGGGGGACCCUCACGGAGGCAGUCUUACAUCCCAUACCGGGACUCUGUGCUGACCUGGCUACUGAAGGACAGCCUUGGAGGCAACUCGAAGACCAUCAUGGUUGCCACUGUGUCUCCUGCACACACCAGCUACAGUGAGACCAUGAGCACACUGAGAUAUGCAUCCAAUGCCAAGAAUAUCAUCAAUAGGCCACGGGUCAAUGAGGAUGCAAAUGUGAAGCUCAUCAGAGAACUCAGAGAAGAGAUCAGGAGGCUGAAAGCCAUGCUGCUGAGCUUUGAGCUGAGAAACUUAAGUUCCUUAAGUGCUGAGGAUGAAGAUCUCAGGGAACUUGUUCUCCAGAGUGAAUUGAAGAUGGACAAGCUGACCAAAGACUGGACCCAAAAGUGGCAUGAUUGGCAGGCCCUUGUGGAACAUUACAGUGUGGACAUCAGCAGGAGGAGGGCUGGGGUGGUCAUUGAUUCCAGCCUGCCACACCUGAUGGCCUUGGAGGAUGAUGUGCUCAGCACGGGUGUUGUACUCUAUCAUCUCAAGGAGGGGACAACAAAAAUAGGAAGGAUUGACUCAGACCAGGAACAAGACAUUGUACUUCAGGGCCAGUGGAUUGAGAGAGACCACUGCACAAUCACCAGCGCCUGUGGGGUAGUUAUUCUCCGGCCUGUGCAGGGGGCACGCUGCACAGUCAAUGGCCGAGAGGUCACUGCCUCUUGCCGUCUGACACAAGGAGCUGUUAUAACUCUGGGGAAAGCUCAGAAGUUUCGAUUCAGCCAUCCAGCAGAGGCUGCUGUACUGCGGCGGCAAAGGCAGGUUGAAGAGGCCAUUGGCAGCAAUGGCUCUUUGGAAUGGUUGGACUUGGAUGCAGAUGUUACUGCCUCCCACUUGGGUCUCUGCCCUUUCCUUUGGAAGGAAAGGAGAGUGCUGGAAGAGCAGAGUGAGGAGGACCACGACCCACCAAGGGAUAGAGAGACAUCCCACAGAGCCCAGAUUCAGCAACAGCAGUACUGUGUGGAGGAUUUGAAGCAGCAGUUUCAAGCAGAGAAGAUUAGAGCUAAGAAGAGGACAGAAUUUGAUCAGACCUGCACCCAUCAAAAGACUGGAAAUAACCAGCAGUGGCUAUUUAGAGAAGAAACCUGGCUGGCCAAGUUACAGCAGCAGCAGCAGCAGCAGCAGCAACAACAACAACAACAACAACAAGAAAACAACUUUGGAGCAGAGAAAGAAUCUGAGGCCUCUGUGGCACCUGCUGCUCAGCUUCAGACAGAUUCUAAGGUUCCACUGACCCCACUGGUCCAAAGCCAGAAUAGGCUGGUGCAGCUGCAGAGCUGUGACCCUCAAGCAGAAGAACACAACAUCCCCAGAAAAAAGGGCUCAUUGCAGAUAGACGGAUUCAUCAAGAAGCAGAGGCUCCUGGAGGUUCAGGAGAGACUGGAGCAGCUUAGAGAACUGUGCUGGCCUCAGGAUGACAGCACCCACCAGUCCCCAUGCCGGGUCCCUACCUCUGAUACCACAGCCCCAGAGCCUCCACCUGGAAGCAGACAGACAAGUUGCAGUUCUCUGAGCUGCCAAAGGCUUUGUAGCCAGCAUUUGCCCCUGCUGCACAGUGUUUUUCUGAAUGGGGAUCUCUCUACCUUGUUAUCACCUAUGCCUGACCCUACUCACCAAGUGUCAGAGAAAGUCCCACUGGAAGACCAUGUUUCCCCAGCAGCUGCUUGCCUCCCAAGGAUGGAAUGUCUCCGUAAGAGUGGCUUUUGUCCCUCAGGCCAGGCACAGCUCUGCACAGCCAAGAAAGAUACCUCAACUCUAGGUACCCACCUUACCACAAGCCACAAGUCUGUCAACAUCCAGGAAAUGGAGACAGUGGGUAAGCAGCUCUCUCAGAUGAUACCGCAGGGGUUAGCAUCUCUAUGUGAAUCCACUGACAAUCUAAAGUCAAGACAUGGACCACAGACCUUCAUCUCUGCUACCCAGGCCAGAAGAGCUAAGGGUCUAACAGACUCUGGCAACACACAGGCUGUCUCACAAAAAGAAAGGAACCUUGGGCUCCAUAAGACUGCUAGGGGAGCCAGUUAUAGUUACUCUUAUCCCCGUGGACCUAAACAGGCAGCUGGGCUUGGAAGAAUGGCCAAGACUUUUCCGGUGGAAUCCAAACUGUCUUUUCCAGGCCGAGAAUCAAAAAGGCUUCAGAGGGUGCUGGCAGCGAGGGUCAGAGACAUUGCCAAAAACUACUCUCCUUUAUCUCAUGAUCAUCCUUUGAAGAGACAGCACAGUGCAGCAGACCCAGAUACCACAGCUUCACAUACAGACUCCAGCCCAGUGAUGGAUUGUUCAAGAGAAGCAGAUGAUUUAUCUGAUACAGAUAGUAACUACUCGGUGGAUUCUCUUUCCUGUGUCUAUGCCAAAGCCUCACUGACAGAACCACUGAUACCAGAGGACCCUCCAGGAAAGUGGUACCUCCCAGAGUCAGAGAACUCUGAAAGUCACAACAGCCAAAUACCUGAGGAUUCACUGGUUGAGAAGACAGGCCAGAGCUCCAAAGAAAGCCUAGAGGGCAGUCAUCCCAGCAAUGAACAUAGCCACUUGAAGAUCAGAACCAAAGCCUCUAUGGGGGGUUUUCCCAAGCCCUCCUACAGUGGCCUGCUUGCUCAGACUCAGAGGAGCUUUUCCUUAGACAGCCUGAUUGAUGCUGAUCGAGAAUUGGAAGAAGAUCGGCAAGAGGAGCCUUUCCUUGGUUCAACUGAGGAGAUGCCCACAGAGAUAUUUUGGCACCUGCAGAACUCCAUUCUGCCUGUAGUGGACCAGGAGGCAAUAUGCAGACCUGGGUCCAUUAGCCACAGAGCAGGGAUAGGGCUAAAUGCCAUCCUGCCAAUGAGUAGUUCAUUUUACCUUAAUUCUCGGGUCCAGCCUGGUAAGGAUCAGCCUGAAUCAGAGGUGGAGGCCAGCUACCCAGAAUGUUCUUUCCAAGACAUACAGCUUUCAAGAGAGAGCUCUCUAGUGUCUGUGGAUUCCUGGUUUUCCUGUGACUCUAAGAUCAAUCCUAGCAGCCCCCCUGGGAUAGAGGGUUCUUUACUUGUAAGUCCUGAUGUCCUGGAAUUCCAGCCCUGUGAUGAAAAAAGACCUGGAUACUUGCAGAAUAUUAAAGAACUAAAGCCAUCAGGUGCAAAAACAGUUCUGCCAGGUAGCUUGACACUGCCCCAAGGCAGUACUGAGCUACCUUGUAACAUAGAAGAUGUGCACACAACCUCCACUUCUGAUAUUUCCAAGUUGUCACUUUGGGGAACUCAAAGGCAUCUUCGGCCAGGAGCUGAUAGACUCUUUCAGGGAAGAGGUAGCCCUGAUACAACCCAGCAGGGAAACUCUGAAGUUUCUAAUUCUAGUGGGUCAAGUGGACCUGCUGCCUCUGCCACCUCAUUCAUUUAUGUGGGCAGCACCCAUGAAGGGAACUGGGCUGCCCUUCAGCAAAAGUGUGUUCUUGAACUCUCUCACCCUGUUUUGGACGCUGUUAGACAGCCCAGGCCACCCUUCCCCUGUCUUGAAGAAGACUCUAGCUCACUGGCUGAAAAUUCUAGUAAAGGAGGAGAUACACAGCUGCCAGUUGAAUCUGGGAUCUCCGGCAGUCCAAAUUUUAAUGACUUUCCAGUCCAUCUCUCCAAAACCAGACAUUUGAGAGCGGAGAAAGAACAGGACAGUUUGAGUGCCAAGGUGGAAAGUGCUUCAGAUUUCUUUAGUAAUAGUGAGAAAGAGGUAAGUUGUAAUGGAACUUAUUCAGCUGACUUGGAAUCACUGGCUUCUGGAUCUACAAAUGCACAGGUUUGUACCAAAGAGAACAAGAUAACAUAUUCCUUAAAAGAAGCCUGUGAAGUCAGACAGAAGAGCUCAAAAGAGUGCUGUCAGGGUAGCAGAAAACCUGGAGUGACAACUUCCUCUGCUACAUAUGUAUUCCAGAAGAAUGCUUGUUGCAGGAAUGUUACCCAGGCCACCAAAGCAGACUGUUGGCCCCAAGGCCAGUCUCUUCUCAGGAAAAAUAGUUCAGUUCAGCAAGAACAAUUAAAUUACGACAACCACCACUGCCAACAGGAAGAGAAGGCAGAUUACCAAAAAAGCUCUGCGGAGGUAGUUGGAAGGCACACAGAUGUUUCUUUUACUCUUCCAUCAGGUCCAGAACCGUGCCUCCACUCUCCUCCCUCUAAUCCUUUCUCAUCUUCCCCACAGCCACCUGUCUUGGAAACAUUCUAUGUGACCAAAAGCAGGGAUGCCCUGACAGAAACUGCCUUAGAGAUUCCAGCUUGCAGAGAAGUCUGGGUGCCUUCCCCACCUCCCCGGGAAGCCUGGGGCUUUAGGCAGGACCACCAAAUCCUAAAGAAAACUUACUUGAACAAUUUGCCAGUGCUGUUACGAAGCCAGAGUUCCAAGAUUGCCUUUUCUCAACAGGUCACUACAGAGAGGACAGUUGAUGUGAACACCAAGGAAGUUACUGGUGACUUAGGAGAAUGUGCUGAAAAUAUUAAAGAAGAAAGCCAUAAUUUAGUUCCUUUUCUUGUUGCUCAGAACAGACAUUUUCUCCCUUUUACUGGCACAGAAGUAUGUGAGUGUGAAAAUGAAGUUGGAAUUUUAAAUAAAAAGCACAGUUUUCCAGUAUGUAAUGAAAGAGAAAAGGCUCCUACACAGUGCUGUUGGAAUGUUUCUUCAGACAACACUGGAUCUGAGAAGCAUUUCCUUUUCAUUUGUGAACCUGAGUCAGGUAGGAAAGAAGAACAGACUCAGAUUCAGGCCCAUGAUAUCAGCAGACAAAUUCCUUUCACACCCAGGUCUGAUUUCACCUGUAAAACCACUGAUUUACACCUUGAGAAGGACAUGCCAGGUGAAACACCUGUUUUUAUGAAGUCCAGAUCAGUGUGUCAUAGAAUAAGUAGCCCAGGAAUUAUAGCCCAGGAUGAUUGUCCAACCCACAAGUGGGAAGGGAAAAGUGGAACUGGGCCCCUUGGAGAAGCUAGCCAUUCAAAGCUUGAACUUUCAGAGAGAAAGUCUACUUGUGAAAAAGUUUUAUCUGUUAUGUGCUAUCAGGAAAGCCGCCCCAGUGAAUGUCAGGGCCCUAGAGGGUCACAAGAAAUGUUAAACUCCAAAGAAGAAUUUUUGGGAAAGAAACAAUGUAAAGGAGUUAAUAAUGCUGAUGAAAUGGCUAGGCUAAUUAGGAGUGUUGUGCAACUGGAAAACGACAUCUUAGAAAUUGGAUCCAAGAAGAAUAAGCAGCUUCAUGCUUCCCACACACCAGGAGUUAGUGAGGAGGUUGUGGGCCAAGAGAGUGCUGACCAUGUCCUGAGGCCAGGAAGCUGUGGAAACCACUUGUCCUGUAAGAAUCAGUCAUCCUCGCCAAGACAGGCAGGUGAUGUUGUCUUUAAGGACAGUGAAGCUGGGAAAAUGGAGGCUAACAGAACCACUGGGAAUGAGAAACAGGUCCUGAAAAUCCCUCCAAGCCCUUUCAGAUCAAAGAAAUAUAUACAAGAGAGUCAGACUGUGGUAGAGCAUACAACCCUAGCUGGAGUGGACUGGUUCCCCAGGGACACAUGUGAUUCUUUAGGGAAAGGUGCAGCUUUCAAAGAGCCCCCCAACACUGCUCUUCACCAAAGGAGAAUAAAAGCAUUGUCUACACCUCCACCUUUGCAUCCACUGCCAGAGAGUUCUGGGAAGGAAGUUAGGCUGGUACAAGAAUCAGCAAACUUCAAAGAACAGCCUUGGGGCUUGGGAAAUCGUGAGGACCUAGAGACUAUGGAAGUUCUUCAAGAAAGCCAAAUUGCUAAGUGCAUAGGUAAUUCCAAGCCAGAGGGGCCAAGAGCUCAAGGUGAAGUUGAAGAAAUGGCCUUGCAAAUGGGAGGGGACCCAAAGGACAAAAGAAAUAUUAUCUCAUUGACUCAGAAACAUCCUGUCCCAAACCAGCGUUAUAUGUGCACAUAUUUUAGACAGGAGACUGCCUCCUCAUUACCAAGCCAGACAGAUUUUUCCAUAGCCCCUUCUAAUCGAGACCUGAGCAAUAACUUGUCCUUGCCUUCACCAAAGCUGCCAGGAUAUUGUUUUUAUGCCCCUGAUAAUGAAGGAAUUGCUUUAGUUGACCAUGUGCUAGAUCCCACAAUAGUGAAAAUUCCUGACAGUCCCUCAGAACAUGGAGUAGGAUGUGACAGCCAGAGUAGAGAGAACAAAAGCCCCCAUCUACAGGGAGACAUUAAAGGGGGCUCCUCCACAGCAUACUCGGUCUGGUGUGGGGAUGUGAGGCCCAGGGUCUUGGGAUUGCAUGGUCAGCGUAAUGCAUCAGAGAGUGUUCCCCUGGGGGCAGAAGAGAGGGUAAUAGCAAGCCCCAGCCCCCAGGACCAAGGAGCAGACCUUGAAACCACUUCUUUGGGUUUGAGUGCUCAGGAAAGUUAUGGCAAUGAAACUGAGGCAGCUAUACAAAAAGAAAUACAAGCCACUUCUUUGAAUACAGCCUCUAGGCAACUUGAAAAGAGGGUCAACUUCUCCUUAGAAGAAAGUGAUAACCAAGGCGGAGGAGCAAGGUGGAAGACACAGGAGGAGUCCGAGGACUUGGGCCCUAUCAGCAGAACUUGCUCAGCAUCUGUUUCUGUGCCAAGGGUGCCUGAUCCAGAGCCCAGGCUGUUGGAGACAUCUGGCCAUGCAUCCAUUUGCCUGGCUAUUUUGGAGGAAAUCAGACAGGCAAAGAUGUGGAGAAAGCACCCUAAUGACUUUGGGGCUGGGAGUGCAGUCCUUACUUACUGUGGAACUUCAGUAGAACCUGGAUGUUCUUCAGGGGCUUCUGGCAGGACUUACUGUGAGCAAAUGGACCAGUUAAUGCCAGGCAGGUCUAAGAAUGAUGGUGAAGCCCCAGAAUGCCAUGUGGCAUCUCUCUCUGCUACACCAGGACAACUGUUGGCUGAUGAAAGGAAAGCCCAAGCCACACCUGUCUGUAUAGAUGGCUCUGGACCUCUGCCCAGCCCUGAAAUGAACAGAGGGCCCCAGCUUCUUCCACAGUCUUCCUCUUAUGCUGUACCUGUUACAGGCAAAAGAUACUCUAGAGAUCAGAGGCAUUUCCAGGAAGCAAGAGAAGGGUAUACAGAUCACUGUAGUUCUUCUGGAAUCAUAGAGAAGGAAACAUCCAGAACUUUUUCCGAAACUGUGGAGGCAGACAGGAUUGUGGGAUCAGAAAAAGCAGUGCCUGCUUUAUCUUCUCAGGCCCCUCGUGGUGAUCCUGUGCCAAUACUAUAUGGGCAGAGCCAGUUAGCCACAUGGUGCACUGUAGAGGGUGUGUCUCCUAGCAGUUGCACUAGCAGCCCAGAGCACCAGGAACCUGAGGCUGUAGGUACUGCAUAUGAAGGAGGCUCAAGUAACUUCUUAGUUACUGCACAGGGAGGAAAAACUGCCCACUUUGAAAAUCAGUCUGUGGUCUGUAGUGUUGAGAAUUCAAGCUUUUCAGAGACUAAGCAAGAUCAUGCCCAAUGGCCUGAGGCUUCUACUGGCAUAGAAGCAGUAAGGGCAAAUCCAAGACAUCAGUGUGUGAUGGAGGAGAAUGUUUGGGUUAGUCUGACAGAAGCCUGUAGGCCUGACAGCAAAAAUUUCAGGCCAGCUCCACUGCUAGAUCAGAGACCUGGGCCAGACCCUAGGGGAGAUGGGGCUCUGUGUGGGGGUUCAGUGGAAACUGAAGAUUGCCUGGUCCCCUCUGAGAGCACAGAAGGCAGCAGGGCUCUCAACACAGUGAGGGAGGCAGAGGAAAGUAGAAUUCUUCCUUGCCAACAAUUGUGCUGUCAUCAGACCACCACUAUUCACACCUGUUAUGGAGAUGGUGACCCAGAGAUGAAUUCCCAGGCUACCUCGUGUCCUGUCCACCCACUUAACAUUGUGCCUUCCAGGGUUCAUGAACUAUGUGAGAUAGGAGAGACCUCUUUCAAGGAAGCUGAUAUACUCUUGGCACGUAGCUGUGAGUCUAAAGGCAUGGACCUUGGGCCAGCAGAUGGCAGCAUGCUUGAGCCCCCUGCUGCAGCUGCUGUCCAAUUGUCCACUCCAGGGUGCAACUCCCUUUGCACUUCCUAUGUUAGAACACAUUCUCUCACCCAGUCAGCUACUGAUGGGAGCUUAAGGACUGUAGGGGGUUCUGAGGAAGAGGCUGCUAAGAGGAAAGCUAGCAUAGAACUUGAGGCUGCCCCCUGCCCUGUAGGCACAUACUCUGAGCCACUGAGGAACCUCGGUGAUCAUUCUGUAGGUGACCACAAUGCACAGGUGUCUCAGACCAAGCUAGAGUCACCUACAGAAAUUCAGGGACCACACAACCUGACGUUAAGUGAAGCAUUUGUUGGGAGUGAGCACGGAUGCUUAGAAAAUACCAAAUGCCUUUCGGAAAAGCCACAACCUUCCACUGAAUCCAGGGAUCCUCCAGCCAAGUUUGUAGGGAAACACAUCAGUAGUCCUCAGGAUGAUAAUCCUUGGGAAGAUGAAGAACAACAGAGAGAUUCAGCUUUAGUAAGUGGUGAAGACCUUCCAAAGGGCAGGAAUUCUCUACUCACUGAUGUGGGUGUCUUAAAUGGCUGUCAGAUUAGAGGUGCUGGAAGAGAAGAGGUGGCUAUGAUCAAGUUUCCAGUGUCCCAGACUUUCUUGACAGGUUUUGAAGACCCAGCUUCUGUGCCGUUGGGGCAAAGUAAAGUACCACAACCUGCUGCCGAGAGAUCUGGUCAGCUUUACUCCAAUGAAAAGCAGCCAAAUCCCCAUCACAGGUGCUCGCUUCCUGUGAUUGCAGUCUUCUCUGGCCCUAAACAUUCUAAGCCCAAACCCAGACCUCAGUUCUCAGUGGUGAGCUCCUCUCGAUCUCUUCAGGAGCUAAACAUUAAGGUGGAGCCUCCUUCCCCUCCAGAUAAGAAUGCACAGAGGAUUCACCGACUGUGGAACCCACACAUCCAGGGCUAUUCCUCAGAAAAAAUGGUGACAGAAACACCUCUGAAGACUGAGGAGUCUAUUCCAACAGCCACAUCUAACGCGAGUGAUGGCCCUACACACCACAUGGCACUGAAAGGUGCCACCCCUCCUUAUCCACUGUCUUCCACAUUGUCUUGCAUGCCAACCCCUAAUUUCAUGAACAGUUGGAUGUCUGGAACUUUGGCUCCACAGGGAAAGCCAGAGAAACUGGGUGCCCAAGUUAGGUCAGAGAAUGGACAAGUAGACAAAGGAAUGUUGUACUUGGGCUCUAGUGAUAACAAUCCUUACAUCCAUCCAUGGUGCCCUGAGGGGCCUGUGCACAUUGGCUGGAAGCAUUAUGUGUUUGGCAGGGCACUUGAUGUCUCCUGUAGCCCAAAAGCCGGUGGUCCAAUGUCAUCAAAUGUAGCCUGGUGCUCCAGUAUGGACAACAACUUAGGAGAUGACAAACCCCCAUUCUCCUCCCACCUCAGCACUUACAGCCAAAUCCAGGACCUGUCAAGCACACACAGCAGGACUGAGAAUGUACAGGAUUCCAAUGAGGCCUGGAAUAUGUGGGGUGCCUCAUUUGCCUUGGGCAACAUUCUGAGUAGUCCUGACAAGAUCCCCCAGUUUAAGAGUCCAACUGAUGAAGCAGGCUGUCUAAAAAGUGAGCUCCCUUUGCCUGAAGGAAGUUCUGUAGGUGCAAUGGAUAAGAUUGUGCUGCUUUAUCCAUCUGAGACUGGCAACCCUCUGGCACAGGCCAUGAUGAACACCUAUGAACAGGGCACACAGACCCAGGGCUGCCAGCUCCACCAGAGCUGUGCUAAUGUCUUCUCUGCUCAGCCUGACACCAAUGUGGUAUCACCAUGUGACCUGGCCGCCUGGGCCAGCAUGCACAACCUGUCUCUCCACCUCUCACAGCUCCUGCAUAGCACCUCAGAGUUACUUGGAAGUCUCUCCCAGCCCAGUGUGGCCAAGGAACAGAACACCAAGAGGGACCCCACAGCUGGGGCCCUACAGGCCCUCAGGAUGAACACUGCAACUCAAACCAAUGUGGACAAGGACAGCCAGACUGACCUGGCCUCACCUGCUCUGCAUCUUCCUGCUGCAGAGGCCAAAACUCAGGAAGUCAGUGUAAUCCUUGAAGUGCUGAGCUCAGAUGCCACACCAGUUUCUCAAGAAAAGGGAGAUGUCACAGGAGCCCUUGAUGAGAGAGACAUUGAAGUGAUGUCAUGGAGAGCAACUGUGCCUUCCUAUCUUCAUGAAAAAAGUGCCUGCCGUAAACUGAGAAGCCCUCCAGUGCCUUCAUCUGACUUGAAGUUUCAGAAAACCCCUCAAGAGCAGAACCUCCCUUCUCUUGAUGCCUUCCAAGCUGGGGAUUCCUCUUGUGUGGUUGUCAACAGCCCCAGCCUAAGCACCUCUUGUACCCCAGAGCCCUUCCCCACUACCUCAGAGCCCACCCAAGAGCCUCAGGUCCAGAGGAGGCUGGGCCCCACGAGCACCUUAUUGGUGGACAGGGCGUCCUCUCCAAUCCUCACACUUAGUGCUGGCACCCAAGAGCUGGGUCCUCGCCCAGGCCUUUUGACCCUUUCAACUCCCUCAGCCUGCCCUCUGGAAGAUCACCAGACACUUGACUUCAGCCCAAGACCUCCAGAAGACAGUUGUUUUCAAGCCACGCAUGAGCCAGGUGGCUUCCAGACAGUAGAGGCUCUGGAUGGAGGAGGCAGUAGUGGGAACUUAUUCCUGGAAUUAAGCCCGUCAGGCAGCCCACCACAGAACCCGAGUGUCCAAGUUAGCUUCUUGGCACAGCCUCUUCAGCAGCCUAGGCCCAGGACUACCACUAGAGGCCAAAGCAGCCCACCACUUCCACCCCCAAGGCACUGCAGCCAGAGACUGACUGACAGCUUUGUAUCUGAAGAGGCAACUUCCCCAGAGCAUGGCCUACUGAGCAGUCAUUGGCAGAGCAGGCUUGAAAAUGGGGGUGAGAAUUCAGCACCUCCAGUAGAGCCACAACUCACUGCAGAUCUCUCCUCAUCAUGGAAAGGCCCCCAACACCUUAGCCCCUGUCCUGGUGCUGAGCUGACUGACCCUGCAGGCAUACAAGGUUCCACUGAUGGCUCACCUCAGGCCUGCGAACUUCAGGGAAUGAUGUGUUCCAGUUCCCAGAUGUGCGUGGCCCCCGAACAUCAGCAUUGCACCCUAAGGGAGCUCCCUGUACAUAACAAAUUUAGUAACUGGUGCGGGGUUCAGCAUAACUCUCCUAGGGACCUAGGUGUGAAUGAAGCGUUGGAGGCCAGCUCUGGAGAGCAGAAGCAAAUGCUCCCACAACCUCAUGACCAGCGCCUGGGUCCUGAGUGGUCCCCAAGGGAGCAGAUCUCCCUGCAAGGUGGGGCCCAGAGUACCCCACUCAGUGUAGAACUCGCAGAAGCAAAGCUGCACCAUGGCUUCGGGGAAGCAGAUGCCCUGCUGCAGGUGCUGCAGCAAGGGACAGGGGCAGCACUUGCUCCAGAUGAGGCUGCGAUGUCCACCUGGAAGGAACUCCAUGCACGGCAAAGACAAGCCAUUGAGACUGUCAAGAGUGAGCAGGCUGAGCGACUUCAGAACUUCUGUCGGACACGAAGCCUGAGUACCCAGAAACAGUUGAGCCUCCUGCCUAACAGGACUUUCCCCUCCUGGGACCUAGACUUGCCCAGCAAGCGCCGAGAAUACUUGCAGCAAUUGAGGAAGGAUGUUGUGGAAACCACCAGAAGCCCAGAGUCAGCACUGAGUUCCACUCACCCACCCACUGACAUGGAGCAGAUGCUACGUAACUAUCAGCAGGCCCGUGAGGAGGCCAAGGUGGAGAUUGCCCGGGCACGGGAGCAGCUGCAGGAGCGGACUGCACAGGAGAAGCUUCGAAUCCGCCAACACAUCAUCUCCCAGCUGCUGAGGGAAGAGGAAAAGCUACAUGCGCUGGCCAACUCCAGCUCCCCAUGCACCAGCUCCAAUGGCAGCCUCUCCUCUGGUGUUACCUCUGGUUACAAUAGCAGCCCGGCCUUGUCAGGCCAGCUCCAGUUCCCAGAGAGUGUGAGGGACUCGAACUUGCCUGAUUCCAGAGCCGCCUGGAUGGGGGAUGGGCGAAGCCAGACUGCCUUAAAGAGCAGUAACCUGUAUCUGAUUGGAUCUGCCCUGAAGAGCUCUCCCUACAGCCACCGAGGCUCCCUGGGCGGUUGCUGCUGCUCCCCAUCCAGCCUGUCUAGCUUGGGAACCUGCUUCUCCUCCUCCUACCAGGAUUUGGCUAAGCACAUCGUGGACACUGCCAUGGCCAAUGUAAUGACUGCUUGUUCCAAUAAUCUGCACAACCUGUUCAGCUGCCACGCAACAGCAGGCUGGAACUAUCAAGGUGAGGAGCAGGAGGUACAGCUUUACUACAAGGAAUUUUCUUCUACUCGGCAUGGCUUUCUGGGGGCAGGUGUUGUGGCUCAGCCGCUAUCUCAUGUGUGGGCAGCUGUCAGUGACCCAACCCUGUGGCCCCUGUAUCACAAGCCCAUCCAGACGGCAAGGCUGCAUCAGCGGGUGACCAACAGCAUCAGCUUGGUGUACCUGGUAUGCAAUGCCUCCCUGUGUGCGCUGAAGCAGCCGCGGGAUUUCUGUUGUGUCUGCGUAGAAGCCAAAGAGGUGCCUGCCUCAGUAGUGGGGUACCUGUCUAUAGUGGCAGCUCAGUCUGUAUAUGACACAUCCAUGCCAAGACCCAGCAAAAAAAUGGUCCGAGGGGAGAUCUUGCCUAGUGCCUGGAUCCUGCAGCCUGUCACCAUGGAAGGGAAGGAAAUUACCAGAGUCAUCUACUUGGCCCAGGUAGAACUGGGUGCUCCAGGCUUUCCCCCUCAUCUCCUGAGUUCCUUUAUCAAACAACAGCCCCUGAUCGUGGCCAGGCUGGCUUCCUUCCUUGGUAGCUAGCAUUGCCUUGUCAAGAUGGUGUUGCUGAGCUGAUGCCAUGGCCCUAAGCCUGGUAGGAUUUGGCCUGCACUCAAGACUCUGCACCUCUGAGUGACUCGCCUGUGACUGCUUCUUGAGCCCAAAGCCACCCAGUCACCAGGAACCACCAAGUGAAAAGAGAGAGGGCAACUAUAAAAAAUCUGCCAGAGUCUGGGGCUUGGCAGGCUUCUCUGCGCCAACCGAAGCAACUCAGCUUCCAGGGGCUGGCGACGCAGCUGCCAGGGGAGCCACGCGCGCGAGCAGCAACUUGGUCCGCUCACUUGGCAGCUUUACAGAAGCCCUUCACUUGACAUGUGCAACUUAAGAAUCUGGAAUCAAGUACGUGUGCCACUGUCAGCCAGGAUGGCUAGCACGCGCGGCUGGGAAUGAGAGCGCUGCCUGCCUAUGGGUUACAUUCACAGACAAUUUACAAUGUGUUUUCAUAUUAAAUUUGGUAUGAUCCAUUUUUCUUCGUUAGUCACUCAAAUGACUUUAAGCUAUGCAAGAUUACUAGGUAGAGUUUAGUAUUUCUACCAGUUCAAAGAUCCUAAAGGGCUAUCAGCCUAAUCCAGAAGAAAAGGGAUUGAACUGCUACUUGUUUUUGUUUUACUUGCUAUGCAGUUCAGGCUGGCCUUGAACUUCCUAUGUAGAGCACAGGUUGGUCUCGAACUCACAGCAAUCCUCCUGCAUCAGCCUUCUGAGUGCUUGGAUCACAGGGUGUGGUGAGUGGUUUGAACUGCUGCUACCUCUAUCUUCUGUUCCUCCCAAGUCAUCUCUGAGACUUGGGGCUGGGGAGAUAGCUCAGUAGAAUAAGCGCUUUCCUGACAAGCACAGGGACCUGAGUUCAAUCCCUGUACCAAAAAAAAAAAAAAGUUUGCCAAGUAAUUUCUGAGACUAGAGAGAAGGUAAAGGCAAGUGGGACUUGGUAACCCACCCUGCUGUUGUGAUAAGAAAUAGCAGGAGUCAUUUUAG